GUAACUUGAAGAUAAGAUAGGCAUACUUAGAAAGAUGGAUGCAUCAAAAGGGCAGAAGAUAAGUAAGAUUAUGAAGGUAUGAAGGCUACAGAUAUAGACUAUAAAGCUGCCAAACGCCCAGGGAGACAGCAGCAUCCUUGCUGCCAUGCUGUAGGCAUCGUCCUUCCGUGACAGUACCUUUGCAUGCAAAUACACCAGCUCCCUAAAGCUUUAUUUUCAAGAUGAAAAAGUGCUUUUUUAAAGUUCUGAAAGAAGGGAGCUGCCAGGCUGGCUUGGGUCACUGUCCCAGCUGGUGGAAGCAUCUACACCUCCAAUGACAGGAGCCCAGCAGGAAAAAGGGAGAGCGCUGAAGGCACCGGCAGGGACCUGCUGCCACUGGUGAGUUCUCUGUUUUGUUGUUUUUUUC
rnacentral:lncRNA from 1 species